rnacentral:rRNA from 1 species
UGUUCGGAAUCACUGGGCGUAAAGGGUGCGUAGGUGACGUGGUAAGUCAGAUGUGAAAGCCCGGGGCUCAUCUCCGGAACUGCAUCCGAUACUGCCGUGCUAGAGCACUGAAGAGGUGACCGGAAUUCUCGGUGUAGCAGUGAAAUGCGUGGAUAUCGAGAGGAACACCAAAGGCGAAGGCAGGUCACUGGGCAGUUGCUGACACUGAGGCACGAAGGCCAGGGUAGCGAACGGGAUUAGAUACCCCGGUAGUCCUGGCAGUAAACGGUGCACGCUUGGUGUGGGGACAUUCGACCGUCUCUGCGCCGGAGCUAACGCGUUAAGCGUGCCGCCUGGGAAGUACGAUCGCAAGAUUAAAACUCAAAGAAAUUGACGGGGACCCGCACAAGCGGUGGAGUAUGUGGCUUAAUUCGAUGCAACGCGAAGAACCUUACCUGGUCUUGACAUGCAUUCUGUCGUCGGUGAAAGCCGGCUAGCGUAGCAAUACGCGGUUUGCACAGGUGCUGCAUGGCUGUCGUCAGCUCGUGUCGUGAGAUGUUGGGUUAAGUCCCGCAACGAGCGCAACCCUUGUGGUUUGUUGCCACCCGGUUUCCGGAGCACUCGAACCAGACUGCCUCGAUCAACGAGGAGGAAGGUGGGGAUGACGUCAAGUCCGUAUGGCCCUUACGGCCAGGGCUGCAUACGUACUACAAUGCCCAGUACAGAAUGAACCGAAACCGCGAGGUGGAGGAAAUCUCAAAAACUGGGCCCAGUUCAGAUUGGAGUGUGCAACUCGACUCCAUGGAGUUGGAAUCGCUAGUAAUGGCGCAUCAGCUACGGCGCCGAGAAUACAUUCCUCGGGUCU